UUUAUGGAGAGUUUGAUCCUGGCUCAGGAUGAACGCUGGCGACGUGCCUAAUACAUGCAAGUCGAGCGAACAGAUAAGGAGCUUGCUCCUUUGACGUUAGCGGCGGACGGGUGAGUAACACGUGGGUAACCUACCUAUAAGACUGGAAUAACUCUGGGAAACCGGGGCUAAUGCCGGAUAACAUGUUGAACCGCAUGGUUCUACAGUGAAAGACGGUCUUGCUGUCACUUAUAGAUGGACCCGCGCCGUAUUAGCUAGUUGGUGGGGUAACGGCCUACCAAG
rnacentral:rRNA from 1 species